CGGCGGCGGGGGCCGCGUCCGGUCACGUGCGGGAGAGCCCCGGCCGGGGAACGGCGGCGCGCCGCGGGAGCCUAUUUAGGGCUUGACAUGCCUCAGUGACCUAGGAGGAGGUUAACACAGCUUGGUGAGAAGGGUGUGCUACUGAUAGUGCACACAAAGAAUGCAGACUUUGUGGGCCACAAAUACAUUUGGCAAAAUUCCCAGGAUAAGGAAGAAACUAACAAAGCCUUCCCAUCAACUCUGCUGAAAUCAGCUCCAACUGGAUAAAAGGCAAUUCUCGAAGGAAGAGCGCCACGAUCACUGACUCAGGGCCCAAGAAACCCACUGGCUCAAGAGAAGAGGAAGACUGUGCAGGCUAAUCAGCAUGAGAAGUGAGCGAAUCAUUGACCAACAGAAGUCUAGUUAAUGACAGAACUAGGAUUCUGUGUUUUCCCUGACUCGGCUGCAACGCGGAGCGGUGCCGCCCCGGCAGGGCGCACCCCCGGCCCCGCUGUCCCACCUCGGCCCCGCUGUCCCCUUCCUGUCCCCCUCCCCCCCCCCCCCGUUCCAGCCCCGCUGUACCAUUCCUGUCCCGCUGUCCCUUUCUGGCCCCGCUCUCCCGUUCCCGCUGUCCCUCUCCCGCUGUCCCUCUGUCUCGUUCCCUCUGUCCCGCUGUCCCGUUCCCGCUGUCCCGUUCCCGCUGUCCUGCCCCCGCUGUCCCGUUCCCGUUCCCGCUGUCCCACUGUUCCCUCUGUCCCGCUGUCCCGUUCCCGCUGUCCCGUUCCCUCUGUCCCGCUGUCCCGCUCCCUCUGUCCCAUUCCCGCUGUCCCGUUCCCGCUGUCCCGCUGUCCCAUUCCCGCUGUCCCGUUGCCGCUGUCCCGCUGUCCCGUUCCCGCUGUCCCGUUCCGCUGUCCCGCUCCCGCUGUCCCGUUCCCGCUGUCCCGCUGUCCCGCUGUCCCUCUGUCCCAUUCCCGCUGUCCCGCUGUCCCUCUGUCCCAUUCCCGCUGUCCCGCUGUCCCGUUCCCGCUCCAGCCCGUGACGCCACCGCGGCGCGCGGCUGCUCUGGAAAGGCGUUUCCCCCGCGCGGCAUUGUGGGAGUCCGGGAAGGGCCGCCGGGGAAGAUGGCGGCGCAGGGAGCAGCCCGGGCGGGCGGCGGCGGCGGCGAGGAGGAGCGGGGGUCUGGGCGCUCGGAGUCGGAGCUGUUGCUGCUGCACCCGGAGCUGCUCUCGGAGGAGUUCCUGCGGCUCACCCUGGAGCAGGUGCGUCCGGGGAGCCGGGCCGGGCGGAGCGGCGGCCCCCGAGGCGGGGCGAAGAGAGUCACGGCGCUCAGGGAAGAGCAGCACCAAAUCGGUGCUCUGGACACCACGAACUUGCAGGCAGAUAUAUGGGAUAUGUCUCCGUGUUUGCAAAGGGGCUGUGUUGCACACCGAGGCUGCUAAAAAGCAAUUUGCCCAAAUCGAGACAGUGUCUGCGUACAGUAAAACUGGCUGUGGAAGGAUGAGCUUUACACUGUUAAAGUUGCCACGUCCAUACCCAGUGUGUCCUGCUCUAGUGACCCUGCCUGGGCAGGUCGGUUGGACUAGAUCAUCUCUGGAGGUCCCUUUCAAUCCUCAUUUAACUCACUCAUUUCAACCCUCUUUAACUCACAGAAUUAAAGAAAAGCAGCCUAUGUAA
ensembl:lncRNA